GUGUGCAGCGUCAUCCCCGUCCAUCACAGAUGAGAUUCUCUUCAUUGCCUUAAGCAGAAACUCCGGACUUUAAACACUUGGUCCCCUCCUCAAAGCCCGGAAACCACUAUUCUGUUUUCUGUUCCCAUGAAUUUGACCAUUCUUCAUUUACAGAAGUUGGAGAAUUUUUGGUUGUAUGUGUGUGUGUAUUCUGCACAUUUUUGUGUGUGGGUUUGUAUGUGUGCGUGCUCAGAAGCCAAAGAAUCACCUGGGGUGUGGUUCCUCGGGAAUAUGGACCACCUUUUCCCCUUCCUCCUUCCCUCCCUUCCCCUCUCUUUCUUUCGUUCUUCUUCCUUCCUUUCUUUUUCUUUUCCUUUUCCUUUUUGUUUUUUUGAGACACGGUCUCUCAUAAUUUCCAACUCCUUAAACUACAAAUUCAAACUCAUCAAACACUGGCUAGUGGUUUUGAUAUCUGCUCUAUUUUUUGUUUGUUCGUUCGUUUGUUUGUUUCCAUCAAUUUGACCUCUGGGUUCCUCCUAUAAGUAGAAUCAUAUUAUAUUUGUAAAGAUCAAUUUUUAAAGUUUUCUGUAGUUAAGGAUACAGCUAAGUAGAGCACUUGCCGUAUGAAGCUGUAGGUACAACACAGAGGGAAAAAAAAAAGAAGAGAAAAAGAAGAAAAGAAAAGGAGAAAAGAAAAGAAAAAGAGAGCUCUCUAUAAACGGGCUGAGGUUGGUCUAAGCCUGUAGGCCUGCCAUCCUAAUUUAGGCCAACCUAGGAUACUAAGAUCCUGUCUCAAAAAAAUCCAAACCAAACCUGAGCUCUCAGAUAAUAAGGAUCAAACCUCUAUCUGCCUUUAUUUUACACAUAGUCCUUGUUUAAUGUCAUGUUUGUUGUGCACUCAUGAUGUGUGGGACCUACUGUGAGCUUUGAAGGUGACAGGGCAGUGGGACAGAGCUAAUUAGAAAAGGCAGAGAGGCAAGAGUGAGCCUGGGGUGGCCCGGACACUUGCAGGGGCCUGGGAACUGAAUAGGUGAUGGGCUUGUCUGCCUUUCCGUGCUAGCUCCCUCUGCCCCAACCAGCACAAAGGUUUGGGGUGUUGUAUGGUAGAGAGUUGCCUUAUAUAGCAUUCCCACAAUAAAGAGUGCAGGUGUGCAGCUGGGAGCUUGGGGUUGGGGGCCAGAGGCUCUGCCUGACUCCCCUCAACUCUGGGGAGGGAGCUACUCUCUCCUCAAAGGUCCCUCCCAACCACUUCUUAAGACAUUUUUGAACUCCUUUGGGAGUCUAGGGCACAAUGAACUUUUUGGUCAUUUUAAUCUUCCC
rnacentral:lncRNA from 1 species